rnacentral:rRNA from 1 species
AUUGAACGCUGGCGGCAGGCCUAACACUUGCAAGUCGAACGAGUGGCGGACGGGUGAGUAAUGUCUGGGAAUCUGCCUGAUAGAGGGGGAUAACUACUGGAAACGGUCGCUAAUACCGCAUCCCAUCGGAUGUGCCCAGAUGGGAUUAGCUAGUUGGUGGGGUAAAGGCUGACCAAGGCGACGAUCCGUAGCUGGUCUGCGAGGAUGACCAGGCAAACUGGAACUGAGACACGGUCCAGACUCCUACGGGAGGCAGCAGUGGUGAAGAUUGGACAAGGGGCGAAAGCCUGAUGCAGCCAUGCCGCGUGUAUGAAGAAGGCCUUCGGGUUGUAAAGCACUUUAAGCUGGGAGGCGUUACCCGCAGAAGAAGCACCGGCUAACUCCGUGCCAGCAGCCGCGGUAAUUC